rnacentral:tRNA from 2 species
GCCGGUGUGUUGGAAUUGGCAGACGAGGAGGACUCAAAAUCCUUUGCUGGCGACAGCGUGUGGGUUCGAGUCCCACCACCGGCACCA